rnacentral:rRNA from 1 species
UGGGGAAUUUUGGACAAUGGGGGCAACCCUGAUCCAGCAAUGCCGCGUGUGUGAAGAAGGCCUUCGGGUUGUAAAGCACUUUUGUCCGGAAAGAAAUGGCUCUGGUUAAUACCCGGGGUCGAUGACGGUACCGGAAGAAUAAGCACCGGCUAACUACGUGCCAGCAGCCGCGGUAAUACGUAGGGUGCGAGCGUUAAUCGGAAUUACUGGGCGUAAAGCGUGCGCAGGCGGUUUUGUAAGACAGGCGUGAAAUCCCCGAGCUCAACUUGGGAAUGGCGCUUGUGACUGCAAGGCUAGAGUAUGUCAGAGGGGGGUAGAAUUCCACGUGUAGCAGUGAAAUGCGUAGAGAUGUGGAGGAAUACCGAUGGCGAAGGCAGCCCCCUGGGGCGUCACUGACGCUCAUGCACGAAAGCGUGGGGAGCAAACAGGAUUAGAUACCCUGGUAGUCCACGCCCUAAACGAUGUCAACUAGUUGUUGGGGAUUCAUUUCUUCAGUAACGUAGCUAACGCGUGAAGUUGACCGCCUGGGGAGUACGGUCGCAAGAUUAA